UAAAUGAAAAGUUGUGUUGAGAUACCUUUUUUUUUUUUUUUUUUUAGCGCAAUAUAUGGUACGCGUACAAAGCGCUUGCUUCAGCGUCGUUUGUGGUGGUGAAAGAUGGAGAAAAAGCCAUACGAAUCCCAGCAACAAAAGGCCCCGUUGAGUACAUGAGGGUACGUGCCCCCAGCGGGAUACCACGCGACUGCUGAAGACGGGGCAGCUGUGUGCUCGGAUAGGGGAACGUUCUCUACCGGGACAAGCAGGAAAGGAAAGAUCACUGAGGUUUCUCCCUCCGUUCUUUUCUUCUGGAACGGAGAUGUACUGUAUGGAGCCGUGGCAGCCAUUUUGCAAUCAAGAAGCGACGGUUAAGGGGCACAAGAAAGAAGCCAGCAGCUUAAGACAUUAAGGUCCUGGAACCUUGAUGGCAACAGAAUGUUCUGUCCAUAAGCAAGCAGGCUGCAGAAGAGCCACGAGACGUCCUGAGUAGAGGCCGAGCACAUGGGUACCCCCCCCCCCACCCCGGCUCUGUGGUUUAUUAGCUCCGUGAGCUUUCUCCGAGGAGCCUCUGGUGGCAGUCACCAAGGCCAGGGCUCAGCAAAGGGGAGCAGAGACUCGCUGUCAAUAUCAAUCUGUUUGCAACCCUAUCCCUGAGUUACGGCACCUGGAGUGUUCCCGGGGACCUGGACCUUUCAGGUUUUUAAAAAAAAAAACAGGGGCGCCUGGGUGGCUCAGUCGGUUG